rnacentral:rRNA from 1 species
CUUCAAUUCUGGUUGAUCCUGCCAGAGGUUACUGCUAUCGGAGUUCGAUUAAGCCAUGCGAGUCUAAAGGUUUCUUCGGAAACCUUGGCGGACUGCUCAGUAACACGUGGAUAACCUACCCUUAGGACUGGAAUAACCCCGGGAAACUGGGGAUAAUACCGGAUAGAUCAAGGAUGCUGGAAUGCGCCUUGAUCCAAAGCUCCGGCGCCUAAGGAUGGGUCUGCGGCCUAUCAGGUUGUAGUGGGUGUAACGUACCUACUAGCCGACGACGGGUACGGGUUGUGAGAGCAAGAGCCC